rnacentral:tRNA from 2 species
GCGUAGCGCAGUCUGGUAGCGCAUUUGAUUUGGGAUCAAAAGGCCGCUGGUUCGAAUCCAGUCG